AUAGUUAAUUGAUAACUAGUAAUCAUAUUCACAUCCUUAUAUUGCAAACAACACUUAGACAACACUUAAACAUGAUAAUAUCUGACCACGUAUUGAACCAAUUUUAAAUUCACUUUAUCCGUUGGAUGUUGUUAGCGUAAGACAUGGGUCUUCAACAUUUACUCGUGGUUGUUUUGAUACCUACUUGUACGUCACUGUCCCUUCAACACGUAAAUGAAGAAUGGAACUUGUUCAAACUGAAGUACAACAGAAGUUUUACAUCCACUGAAGAAGAAAAUUACAGGUUCUCUGUUUUUGUGAAAAAUCUGAAGACGAUCAUUUUACACAAUACGGCUGCCGACAAUGGACACUCUUCAUACUGGAUGGGAAUAAACAAUUUUACUGAUUUGUACGAAAGACCCGUGGUGACAUUUCAACUUCAUU